ACUACGGGUGGCAGCAGUGGGGGAUAUUGCACAAUGGGGGGAACCCUGAUGCAGCGACGCCGCGUGGGUGAAGAAGCGCCUCGGCGCGUAAAGCCCUGUCAGCAGGGAAGAAAAUGACGGUACCUGAAGAAGAAGCCCCGGCUAACCACGUGCCAGCAUCCGCGGUACUACGUAGGGGGCAAGCGUUAUCCGGAUUUACUGGGGGUAAAGGGGGCGCAGACGGCGAUGCAAGCCAGGAGUGAAAGCCCGGGGCCCAACCCCGGGACUGCUCUUGGAACUGCGGGGCUGGAGUGCAGGAGGGGCAGGCGGAAUUCGUGGUGUAGCGGUGAAAUGCGUAGAUAUCAGGAGGAACACCGGUGGCGAAGGCGGCCUGCUGGACUGCAACUGACGUUGAGGCCCGAAAGCGUGGGGAGCAAACAGGAUUAGAUACCCGGGUAGUC
rnacentral:rRNA from 1 species